UAGGGAAUCUUCGGCAAUGGGGGCAACCCUGACCGAGCAACGCCGCGUGAGUGAAGAAGGUUUUCGGAUCGUAAAGCUCUGUUGUAAGUCAAGAACGAGUGUGAGAGUGGAAAGUUCACACUGUGACGGUAGCUUACCAGAAAGGGACGGCUAACUACGUGCCAGCAGCCGCGGUAAUACGUAGGUCCCGAGCGUUGUCCGGAUUUAUUGGGCGUAAAGCGAGCGCAGGCGGUUUGAUAAGUCUGAAGUUAAAGGCUGUGGCUCAACCAUAGUUCGCUUUGGAAACUGUCAAACUUGAGUGCAGAAGGGGAGAGUGGAAUUCCAUGUGUAGCGGUGAAAUGCGUAGAUAUAUGGAGGAGCACCGGUGGCGAAAGCGGCUCUCUGGUCUGUAACUGACGCUGAGGCUCGAAAGCGUGGGGAGCGAACAGGAUUAGAUACCCUGGUAGUCCACGCCGUAAACGAUGAGUGCUAGGUGUUGGAUCCUUUCCGGGAUUCAGUGCCGCAGCUAACGCAUUAAGCACUCCGCCUGGGGAGUACGACCGCAAGGUUG
rnacentral:rRNA from 1 species